AGACCACUUCGCCGCCACGGAGGCUAUAAAACAGCCGACCUGUGCUCCAUUUUGCUAUCUAGGGUUUCAAGCCGCCGCCGCCACCACCGCCUCACCCAAGCUUUCAUUUGUCAUGCUGGUUGCCCCCGCCUUAUCGUGUAAUGCCAUGUUGCCCCCGCAUCAUCAUCUAAGAUUUCGUUUGUCGUCCGCGCUGCAGUCUGCUUCCCGUUUCACUCUUAUAUUUUUUUGUUGGACGGAGUUGUUUUGCAUCGUUUCGAUCUGUACCGUACUGUUUCCCCUCUUGUUCAUAACGGCGGCGACACAAAUUCUUGCGUGCUGCGCCGCUCACGCAAGGAGGGAUAAAUCGACUCGUCAAGAAAUCGUUUCAGUUGCCAUGACUCCAGUAGGCAAUAUGAUUGUUGCUUGACUACAGUUUUGUCUUCCACUACUUAGCUUAUUUGUUUGUUUUAUUCUUACCUCGCCCGUAUUUUCUUUGUUUUAUUCUUACCUCGCUCCCGAUUUUAAGAUCUAAUUUGGUAUCUGCACGGUGCUUACCCCGGGCUUGUCGGAUGUACUUGAAGAAGGAAGCCCCAAUGUCUGUGCUAGAUCCACUAUGCCAUUCAGUGUUGCAGGCCCUGAUGAAUUUUGUGAUUGGUCUGUGUCAAAGCAAUGGAUACAAAUUUUCGUAAUAGACCAUUUCUUUAUUAUGUUUGGUUUGAUGAUUCGUUUGAUUGAUUGAUGGCAGUGAUUUGACAUUACCCGCGCUUCUGAUCUAACCCGUGAAGCAAAGGGAAAAUUAAUGGUUGAAUUUCUUAAUAUGAGCCAUCUAGUGAUCUUUCAGCUGUCUCCUUUUAUUUUGUGCGUGAGCUCAUUUCAUUCAUGUGGUUGAUUUGGCGGUGAUGAUACAACCAUUCAGCUUACAACGCCAGUUCUGCUUCUGAUAAGUCAUGACAGAUAAAGCUGAUUCAUAUCUGAGCCUUGAUUUGUGUCAUGUUCUGACAAACUCAUAAUUAGGAUCAUGCAUUUUUUCUUGCUCCAAACCUUACAUCCCGUUGGCCACUGAAGUCAACCCAAUGUUUCGAGGCUACAAUCGGCUCCAACUACAUGCUUGUCAGGUAGAACCUACUUGGAGCUGCUGCCCUCGCAUGACGAGUCUUGACAAUCCUGUGGCCCUCUACGCAGCGUCGAAAUGCGUUUUAGUUUAUAAUAAUGCUGUGUUUUAGUUAUUUCUCUCCUAAUAAUUAUACUGAGUGGAUCUGUGCCGAGUUCAACUAUCCUUGCACUAGUGCUCUCUGAUUUGUGUUGAGGCUGAAGAACUCGGAUAGUUUGUGUUGUCAUCAGCUUCGGCUCUGUACUGUGAGUUGGGAGUUAAAUAACAGCACGAGAUUGUUAACAUCUGUGAGUUUAAACCACAUUUUUUUUUGCCUUUUUUAUGCAACAUAAUUAUUUUUAAGGCUUUAGAACAAGGAGUUCAACCAGUAGUUUUGUCUCCCUUUGCAUGUAGCUGAUGCUCACGCCCUGUGUUGACUAUUGUGCUUAUAACAGGACUGGCAAUUUUGCUUUGAGUCUUUAUAGUAAUCACUGGAAUUAUUUCCUAGGUUGGCCUGACUACUGUUACCUUUUGUAGAAUUUAUAAGGUGCAGUUACACUUGCCACCUCAAUUCUCACACGUUCACUAUUUAUUUAGUUUAAAUUAUAUUGUUUAUGGUUAUUAUAAACUUGUGAUUACUGAAGGAUACAUUAAGUCUGUAUUAUUUAUUGGUUAAAAUUGUUGGCUAAAUUAUUUGUCAAAAGUCAAGACUGUUAAAGUUUGUUGAUCUACAUUUGUGCGUUGUAAUCUAUUCUGGAUUGGGCAAAAUCCAAAAUGCAUGCUAUGUAGCAUAAUAAUGCAUAGAAACCCCAAGGGUAUUAAAUAACUUACAUGUACACCCCUUAAUUUUUUUCUUGUCUAGGAUUAUAAGUACGUUGUCCAGCUGUGGCACCAAGUCGUAGCUCACUGUCUUGUCCUGGUUCUGCUAUAUUUUCUCUUUGUUGCAGGCGGUAUCAUAAACUGAUUUUUUGUGGUUCAGUUAGACGAGAGCGAUGAAGAGCAACUUUUGUGAACUAGAGUUUCAGAUGCUACCAUGGUGACUUUUUUCUGGGAUGGAGCUCAUAUUUGCAGGUGAUUGAUUCAUCUUGGGGCUGAGAUUGAAAUAGGGUAUUUCAGUGAUUCAAAAUAAUUCUUGGUGUACAUCAUCAUUAGUUUUGUAUUGUUUUAUUUACACAGUAUUCGGUGGUUUAUUAAAUUCAGAUAUG